rnacentral:lncRNA from 1 species
CUGUUGGAAUCCUUUUUCUUUUUAUACUCCCUUGCAGGUAUUAUUAGAUGCUUUUUUUGCUUGAUGUCACUUUUCAGUCCCUCCACAUUGUACUUUGAAAAAGCAGUCCUCUAAAGAGAUAUAAUGAAUGAUAUUGGAAGGAUAUGCCCUUGGAAGCUGCUCUUGGUUUUCUCUUCAGAAGCACUCAUGUGCAGUUAGUCCUUUAAAAAAAAAUUACAGGUCAGUGGAGGUCUUCAGCCAGAUGAAUCCAAGGAAUAACCAAGGGUGCAAGAUAAAUUCCCAGUCAAGUAAUCUUUACAUUUUAGCAACUCCAAGAGAGUUUCUUGUUUCCAUACUAGAGAUGGGAAUGUUUGCCAAACAAUGUACUAUUAAAAUUAUGUAAAUUCAUUAUUUUUGGCAGUUGAAAUGUUAGCCAGGUCAAACUUUCAUUAACCAGUGUGUAGUGUCUCUGUAACUACCUUGAUUUUGUAUUAAAAUAGCUAUCAGGUUCAUGCCAUGUUUUUCUUAUAGCACAGUGAAUUUCCAUUCUUUUCUUUUUAUUCUGUGUCCAUACCUGUAAUUUCUCCAAGUGAUUAAGACCAUAAGUUGUUCCUUCUACAGCUGACAUUUCUUUCUACAGUUAUUCAUCUCCUUAGUUCUUUUAACAGCCAUGUUUUAUUAAUGGUCAUUUACCAUGCAGUAAUAAACUCCAUGUCAUUUAGUCCUUCCGGAGUUUUCUGGUCUUUGAUUACAGUGUAACAUAUUGCCUGAUUAAUUGGUCAUCAUUGCUGUUUUCAGCUUCUGCAUGCACUAGUUAAGGUUAUUUUUUCCCUUUUUGGCUUUAAUAUCCUCUGAAGAUUUUCAACAACGUUGUCAGUUGUCCCUAACUUCUCACUUCCUUUUUGCAUUCCCUGAUAGCAAAGAAUGUAUAAUGAAUCCUUGUAAAUGGCUACUGUCUACUCUUAUUUCAGCCUAGACAGUGUUUCUCAAAUUUUAGUGUGCCUCGGGAGCACGUAGAGGGCUUAAAACAUAGAUUUCUGGAGCUCCCUCUUGGAGCUUUUGAUUCAGUGGGUCUGGGGUGUGGCCAGAUAAUUUAUAUUUCUUACAAGUCCCCAGUGAUGUUGAUGCUGACUACCCAGGACAAAGCCCUGAGAACCAGUAGCAUAGCAGAUGAACAUGGUGGUUAAGAGCCUGGAUUCUGGGUUCCGCUGAUAGGGGUUCAGACCACUGCUCUCCCACUUAACUUUCCCAACCAUGUGAACUUGGAAAAGUUACUUAAUCUCUGCCAGCUGCAGUUUCCACACUUGGAAAAGGGGAAGACCAACCUUCCAGACUUUUAAGGAAUGAAUUCGAUACUCCAUGUAAAGCACUUAGUUCAGUGGCAAGAAGCAAAUGCUCAAUAACUGUUAACUACAGGUAUUUUUUUUUAUAAGAUGUGAGUAAUUAAUGUUCAAGCUCAAUUACCAAAAGUAAUAAAAUGUGCCUCCUUCAGCAAAUUGGUCACUUUCUCUGAAACUUGAUUAACUAUAUUGCUGAGGUAAAAAUGCAUUAAAAAAAAAAGAUUGGCCAUGUGGAUGCAGUGGAAAAAUUAUGAAAUUUGAAACCAGGAAAAUGCCUGGGUUUUAGUCUAGACCCUGCUAUUGCUAGCUUUGUGACUCAUAGCAAUUUUCUUCAUCUCUCUGAUCCAAGUUUCCUGUAAAUAUCCUCUGGAGUGGUGAUAUAAAUGGUAAGAACUGUUAUAUGGAUCAAAUGAGCCAAACCAUUUGAAGGAAUUUUGUUUUAUUUCCUACUUUAAUGUUCUGUACAAGUGUAGUUAUUGUUAUUUUUAUUGAGAAUAAGGAUCUAGAGUAAUUUUUUGUACUUAUUUACUAAAAAUUAUAAAAAGUUAUGCUUCUUAUGGAAUGGCAAUUAUGAAAAAGACUUUUCCACUAUAAUUAUUUUGAGAUGGUAGUGACUGUAAUUGGGAAUUGUUAGACACUUGCUUAGAUAUUGGGAUGUGCUAUUAUCUAUUAGUAAUCUAGCCAGAUCUCUUUCUUUUUGACUACAGUACUGGUUCAUCUUUAAACCAAAAGCACACUUAAGAAAGCUUUGUUCUUAUGCUGUGAGUUUAAUUUUGACAAUAAAUUUUAGACAAAAAUAACAGCCUUAUUUUCAGUUGAUACUAUAGGAUUCUUUCAGAAGACAAAAAGAAGCACCAUUUGAUCACAUUUUAAAAAUGUAGCAUGAAGCACUGUGCUGGGCACUCCGGGAGAUGUCAAAAUGAAGCACACGUGCUUUGUGCUUUAGAUGCAUUUUUCUUCAGCAGAAAUCAGAACAACGUACAAAUUCACCACGUAUGUCACAAAGAAGGACGAGUCAGAGGGCGAAAAUGGGUAUAAUAACACAUCUGCCUCUUCAAAUUGUGGUGAAGAUGAAAACAGUGCAUGUUUUAGGCUGAACUACCUGAAAUUACCAGGGUUUUAUAGAGAAUGAUUGGCCUGGAGCAAGCAUAGAAGCAGAGAGGUGCAUAAGGAGGCUAUUGCAACAGCUCAGCUGAGAAAUAGUGUAGGCAGAGCCCAGGGCAGCAGCAGUGUGCCUGAAGAGGAGUGGAUGAAAAUGAACUAUUUCCAAGUCCUCCUGGGACUCCAGUAAGACAAGUCUUGCCUUUCAUGUGGACUCAUACAAUGGUGCUCACAUUGGCGGAGUAAGAAGCACUGCACAGAAAUAGCUCAUUGGCAGAAUUGCGCUCUCAAGGAUGGAUAUCUUCAAGCCAUCCUUGACCCUCUAGAGCAGAAAGACAAACAAGUGUAAUGCUGAGGAAUGGGAAAAAUGUUUAAUUGCAAGCAGAAGAAUCUCACGUGAAAUUUUUACAAAUGAGGAAACGGAAGCACAAAAAGGCUGUGCUAAGGUCAAGCAGAUCAUACUGCCUAACAGGAUUUUGGCACCAUUGGUAGUCACUUUGACAUGUCAAUAAUGAUAAUUGCAAAGAAGACUGUUGUUCCAAGUAAUGGAUAACACAGCAUCUGAACCUACCUGGAUACUUUUUCAAUAUCUAAAGAAUUAUGUUGUAUAAAAAGAUGCUCGAAGCCCAGAAAAAAUAAAAGAUGAGCACUUCUGGAAAUUACUAUCUUAAACUUGUUCUGCAGAAUUACUCCAUUUUUGUCCUCUGUUAACAUUUUAAGAAGAUUCCAGUUCUUUUUGGACCUUUUUAGUUGUAAUGGAGCCCAGCCCAUGCCUUUGAGGCAGGGAGCAGGGAAAUGGUGAAAGUCAAGUGACUCUUAGCUUGCGCUGUUGUCAUCCUCUCUGGACUAUUGCUACAUUUCUAGACUACUCUCAUUCUCAGCCCACGUAGGAAAUCAGAAGAUAAUUUAAAAUUAAAUAAUGAUGGCUCAGAGCUUAAAGCACUUAAAAAAGAGAAGAAAGAAAAGCAUCACAUCUUGACAGUGCUGGGAGUGAUGGUGGAAAGCUUGCCAAGGAGGCCCGGAAGAGUGGUUGGAAAGACCAUUAUUCAUAACAAAAACCAACUCAAAAUGGAUUAACGACUUAAACAUAAGGCUGGAAAUGGUAAAACUCCUUGAAGAAAACAUAGGAAAACGUGUCUUGACAUUGGUCUGGGCAACAAAUUUUUUUGGAUAUGACGACAAAAGCACAGUUUACCAUGGAAUAAAGUUGGUGUUCAGUGAAUAGAUGCUGAAAAAAGUAAAAUUUGCCUCUAGAGAUGUCAUCACUACUUCCUGUGAGAUACAAAGUUUUGUUACUAAAGAGAACAAUAACAAAAAUAAACAACAGUAACAAAGUGGAUUUGAAAAGAAACUUUCCUCUCAAGAAAAAAAGGAAAAAAGACAGGCUUAGUGUAAAAAUGGAAAGACCCUUGACUAAAACUGACAUUUAAAGACCAGAUUGGAGGGAUAAGAAAGCAAAAGAGGAAAAUCAGAUACUCAAGCUUUCUGAACUCAGAAAGGAAAAAAGCAGAGGAGACAGAUCAAAGAAUCAAAACUCCAUUAAGGGCAACAACUGGAAAGUAAAGGGAUGAGGGUGUCCCUGCAAGAUACAGAAGCAUUUUGAUUUAGCUGUAGAAACAGAGGAAGGUCACACAAAAACAGAGGGGAGGCUACAUGAAAACUACCCUCUGUUACUCAGGAGAGAAGCUAGGAUUGACAUUCAGUUUUUUUCUCACUCUCCAUUCAGAGAACUGCUCUCUAGAUUAUUCACCUCUUGAUAUUUACCCAUAAACUUGAUAACCAGAUUAGAAUAAUGCCUGCUCAUGAAGGAUUCGUGCUAUGACAACUCAGCCACCUUGCGUUUUCUAGCUACUGUCAUGUACCUUUAUACCCCUUAAACCU